rnacentral:rRNA from 1 species
GAUGAACGCUGGCGGCGUGCUUAACACAUGCAAGUCGAACGAUGAAGCCCAGCUUGCUGGGCGGAUUAGUGGCGAACGGGUGAGUAACACGUGAGUAACCUGCCCUUGACUCUGGGAUAAGCCUGGGAAACUGGGUCUAAUACCGGAUAGGAGCGCCUGUCGCAUGACGGGUGCUGGAAAGAUCUUUCGGUCAUGGAUGGACUCGCGGCCUAUCAGCUUGUUGGUGAGGUAACGGCUCACCAAGGCGACGACGGGUAGCCGGCCUGAGGGGGUGACCGGCCACACUGGGACUGAGACACGGCCCAGACCCCUACGGGAGGCAGCAGUGGGGAAUAUUGCACAAUGGGCGAAAGCCUGAUGCAGCGACGCCGCGUGAGGGAUGACGGCCUUCGGGUUGUAAACCUCUUUCAGCAGGGAAGAAGCGAAAGUGACGGUACCUGCAGAAGAAGCACCGGCUAACUACGUG